UCGCGAAAGCGUGGGGAUCAAAAAGGAUUAGAUACCCUUGUAGUCCACGCCCUAAACGUUGCAGACUAGCUAUCGGGGGCAUCGACCCUCCCGGUGGCGUAGCUAACGCGUUAAGUCUGUCGCCUGGGAAGUACGAUCGCAAGGUUAAAACUCAAAGGAAUAGGCGGGAGCUCGCACAAGCAGUGGAUCAUGUGGUUCAAUUCGACACAAAGCGAAAAACCUCACCAGGGCUUGAAAUGCUAGUGAAAUCCCCGGGAAACCGGGGCCCCCGCAAGGCACUAGCACAGGUGCUGCACGGUUGUCGUCAGCUCGUCAAGUGAUUGGUUUCCUUAAGUGGAUUAACGAGCGCAACCCUUGUCGUCUGUUAUAAGUGUCAGGCGAAACUGCCGCGGUUGACGCGGAGGAAGGAGAGGAUGACGUCAAAUCAGCGUGGCCCUCUGAUGUCCUGGGCUACACACAUGAUACAAUGGGUGUUACAAUGGGUUGCCAAACCGCGAGGUGGAGCUAAUCCCAUCAAAAACAUCCUCAGUUCGGAUUGGAGGCUGCAACUUGCCUCCAUGAAGCUGGAAUUGCUAGUAAUCGCAGAUCAGCACGCUGCGGUGAAUACGUUCUCGAGCUUUGCACUCACCGCCCGUCAAGUCAAGGGAGCCGGGAAUACCCGAAGGCCCGUGUUAUUACGUGGGACUACGGUAGGCUCGGUGACACGGACUAAGUCGUAACAAGGCACGGCUAGCGGAAGCUGGUCGUGGAUCACCUCCUUU
rnacentral:rRNA from 1 species